rnacentral:rRNA from 1 species
ACUCCUACGGGAGGCAGCAGUGGGGAAUAUUGCACAAUGGGCGCAAGCCUGAUGCAGCCAUGCCGCGUGUGGUGAAGAAGGCCUUCGGGUUGUAAAGCACUUUCAGUCGUGAGGAAGGUGGUGUUGUUAAUAGCACGCAUCAUUUGACGUUAGCGACAGAAGAAAGCAACCGGCUAACUCCGUGCCAGCAGCCGCGGUAAUACGGAGGGUGCGAGCGUUAAUCGGAAUUACUGGGCGUAAAGCGCAUGCAGGUGGUUUGUUAAGUCAGAUGUGAAAGCCCGGGGCUCAACCUCGGAAUUGCAUUUGAAACUGGCAGACUAGAGUACUGUAGAGGGGGGUAGAAUUUCAGGUGUAGCGGUGAAAAUGCGUAGAGAUCUGAAGGAAUACCGGUGGCGAAGGCGGCCCCCUGGACAGAUACUGACACUCAGAUGCGAAAGCGUGGGGGAGCAAAACAGGAUUAGAUA